rnacentral:tRNA from 1 species
GCCACCUUAGCUCAGCGGCAGAGCGCCACUUUUGUAAAGUGAGGGUCCUCGGUUCAAAUCCGAGAGGUGGCU